rnacentral:rRNA from 1 species
UACGUAGGGUGCGAGCGUUGUCCGGAAUUAUUGGGCGUAAAAGGGCUCGUAGGCGGUUUGUCGCGUCGGGAGUGAAAUCCACUGGCUUAACUGGUGGCUUGCUUUCGAUACGGGCAGACUGGAGGUAUGCAGGGGAGAACGGAAUUCCUGGUGUAGCGGUGAAAUGCGCAGAUAUCAGGAGGAACACCGGUGGCGAAAGCGGCUCACUGGAUCUUUCUGACGCUGAGGCACGAAAGCUAGGGUAGCGAACGGG